AGUAUAAGCACUUAUACCGUGAAACUGCGAAUGGCUCAUUAAAUCAGUUAUCGUUUAUUUGAUAGUACCUUACUACUUGGAUAACCGUGGUAAUUCUAGAGCUAAUACAUGCUAAAAACCCCGACUUCGGGAGGGGUGUAUUUAUUAGAUAAAAAACCAAUGCCCUUCGGGGCUCUUUGGUGAUUCAUGAUAACUUAACGGAUCGCAUGGCCUUGCGCCGGCGACGGUUCAUUCAAAUUUCUGCCCUAUCAACUUUCGAUGGUAAGGUAUUGGCUUACCAUGGUUUCAACGGGUAACGGGGAAUUAGGGUUCGAUUCCGGAGAGGGAGCCUGAGAAACGGCUACCACAUCCAAGGAAGGCAGCAGGCGCGCAAAUUACCCAAUCCCGACACGGGGAGGUAGUGACAAUAAAUACUGAUACAGGGCUCUUUUGGGUCUUGUAAUUGGAAUGAGUACAAUUUAAACCCCUUAACGAGGAACAAUUGGAGGGCAAGUCUGGUGCCAGCAGCCGCGGUAAUUCCAGCUCCAAUAGCGUAUAUUAAAGUUGUUGCAGUUAAAAAGCUCGUAGUUGAACCUUGGGCCUGGCUGGCCGGUCCGCCUCACCGCGUGCACUGGUCCGGCCGGGCCUUUCCUUCUGGAGAGCCCCAUGCCCUUCACUGGGUGUGCGGGGGAACCAGGACUUUUACUUUGAAAAAAUUAGAGUGUUCAAAGCAGGCCUUUGCUCGAAUACAUUAGCAUGGAAUAAUAAAAUAGGACGUGCGGUCCUAUUUUGUUGGUUUCUAGGACCGCCGUAAUGAUUAAUAGGGAUAGUCGGGGGCAUCCGUAUUCAAUUGUCAGAGGUGAAAUUCUUGGAUUUAUUGAAGACGAACUACUGCGAAAGCAUUUGCCAAGGAUGUUUUCAUUAAUCAGUGAACGAAAGUUAGGGGAUCGAAGACGAUCAGAUACCGUCGUAGUCUUAACCGUAAACUAUGCCGACUAGGGAUCGGGCGAUGUUACUAUUUUGACUCGCUCGGCACCUUACGAGAAAUCAAAGUUUUUGGGUUCUGGGGGAG
rnacentral:rRNA from 1 species